UACGUAGGGUGCGAGCGUUAAUCGGAAUUACUGGGCGUAAAGCGUGCGCAGGCGGUUUUGUAAGCCAGAUGUGAAAUCCCGGGCUUAACCUGGGAAUGGCAUUUGGGACUGCAAGGCUUGAGUGCGGCAGAGGAGACUGGAAUUCCCGGUGUAGCAGUGAAAUGCGUAGAUAUCGGGAGGAAUACCGAUGGCGAAGGCAGGUCUCUGGGCUGACACUGACGCUCAUGCACGAAAGCGUGGGGAGCAAACAGG
rnacentral:rRNA from 1 species